ACAUGUGUUGGUGUUUUAAACCUUUGAAAAAUGGCACUACUAAAUUUCUUUUUAUUUAAGUCUUUUAACUCUAAAGCUAAAAUGGUAGCUACAAAGGGGAUACCUCCCAAACACUACGAGCCUAAGACAAUUGGCAUCUAAUUAUAUUUCUGAAUGCUUUGUGCAUUUGCAUUGGUACUAUUCUAUUAUGCAAUGUCCUAUCUAAUAUUUGAAUUUGAUGAGUAUGACUUUGUUUUUCCAUGAAAUAAAGUUAGUAUUCUAUUCCCUAAUGUGCAACAAAUAAAUCAUGGUGAUUAAGUUGUGAAAUCCUCCCCCCUCAUCCUUUUUUAUAAGUGUUUUUCAUAUGAUAUUUUAAAUAUAGUAUUUUUUUUUUCUUAUCACAGUAGUGGGAUUGGAGGGAUCUCUCAAUAUUUGGCAACCUAAUUUGAUUCAAAAUGUCAAGGCAUCACCAUCACUUCAAGCUCAAAGGGUCAAUUCUCUCUCUUCUGCUCAAGGAUUGGCCACUAAGAUACCUUCUGGAGUACUAUAAGUAUAGAUUCUAAUGUUCGAGCUGCUGAUGCAGCUCUCAGAGCAUUGAAUAGGAGUGACAUAGCCGGGAAACGCAUAAAUAAUGAACCAAGCUGCCCUGGUAGAGCAUGUCAGAAUUAUUGUGUGACAGUUUGUACUUUUGGGCUCCAAAAAGAUAUCUGAUUCAGUUCAUGAAGUUUCCAAUGCUUUACUGAAGAGAUUGCUUCUUGGACAUGAACUUUGUUUUAUUUUCUUGAUUGUCUCC